UUAAUUCGAAGCAACGCGAAGAACCUUACCAAAUCUUGACAUCCUUUGACCGCUCUAGAGAUAGAGUUUUCCUCUUCGGAGGACAAAGUGACAGGUGGUGCAUGGUUGUCGUCAGCUCGUGUCGUGAGAUGUUGGGUUAAGUCCCGCAACGAGCGCAACCCUUGAACUUAGUUGCCAUCAUUCAGUUGGGCACUCUAAGUUGACUGCCGGUGACAAACCGGAGGAAGGUGGGGAUGACGUCAAAUCAUCAUGCCCCUUAUGAUUUGGGCUACACACGUGCUACAAUGGACAAUACAAAGGGCAGCGAAACCGCGAGGUCAAGCAAAUCCCAUAAAGUUGUUCUCAGUUCGGAUUGUAGUCUGCAACUCGACUACAUGAAGCUGGAAUCGCUAGUAAUCGUAGAUCAGCAUGCUACGGUGAAUACGUUCCCGGGUCUUGUACACACCGCCCGUCACACCACGAGAGUUUGUAACACCCGAAGCCGGUGGAGUAACCAUUUUGGAGCUAGCCGUCGAAGGUGGGACAAAUGAUUGGGGUGAAGUCGUAACAAGGUAGCCGUAUCGGAAGGUGCGGCUGGAUCACCUCCUUU
rnacentral:rRNA from 1 species